rnacentral:tRNA from 1 species
AAGAAUUAGUUAACUGUUUAUAACAUUGGGCUGUCACACCAAAAUAAUUUGAAUAUUCUUUUA